rnacentral:rRNA from 1 species
AUGCAAGUCGAACGGUAACAUUUCUAGCUUGCUAGGAGAUGACGAGUGGCGGACGGGUGUGUAAUGCUUGGGAACUUGCCUUUGCGAGGGGGAUAACAGUUGGAAACGACUGCUAAUACCGCAUAAUGUCUACGGACCAAACGGGGCUUAGGCUCCGGCGCAAAGAGAGGCCCAAGUGAGAUUAGCCAGUUGGUAAGGUAAAGGCUUACCAAGGCAACGAUCUCUAGCUGUUCUGAGAGGAAGAUCAGCCACACUGGGACUGAGACACGGCCCAGACUCCUACGGGAGGCAGCAGUGGGGAAUAUUGCACAAUGGGGGAAACCCUGAUGCAGCCAUGCCGCGUGUGUGAAGAAGGCCUUCGGGUUGUAAAGCACUUUCAGUUGUGAGGAAAAGUUAGUAGUUAAUACCUGCUAGCCAUGACGUUAACAACAGAAGAAGCACCGGCUAACUCCGUGCCAGCAGCCGCGGUAAUACGGAGGGUGCGAGC